GCCGGUGUAGCUCAGUUGGUAGAGCAACUGAUUCGUAAUCAGUAGGUCAUCGGUUCGACUCCGGUCACCGGCA
rnacentral:tRNA from 1 species